CCUACGGUGUGCAGCAGUGGGGAAUAUUGCGCAAUGGGCGAAAGCCUGACGCAGCGACGCCGCGUGAGGGAUGAAGGUCUUCGGAUCGUAAACCUCUGUCAGCAGGGAAGAACGGUCACUGUGCUAAUCAGCAGUGAAUUGACGGUACCUGCAAAGGAAGCACCGGCUAACUCCGUGCCAGCAGCCGCGGUAAUACGGAGGGUGCGAGCGUUAAUCGGAAUUACUGGGUGUAAAGGGGGCGCAGACGGCGAUGCAAGCCAGGAGUGAAAGCCCGGGGCCCAACCCCGGGACUGCUCUUGGAACUGCGUGGCUGGAGUGCAGGAGGGGCAGGCGGAAUUCCUGGUGUAGCGGUGAAAUGCUUAGAUAUCACGAAGAACUCCGAUUGCGAAGGCAGCCUGCUGGACUGUAACUGACGCUGAUGCUCGAAAGUGUGGGUAUCAAACAGGAUUAGAUACCCCAGUAGUC
rnacentral:rRNA from 1 species